UAAGCGGAGGAGAAGAAACUANCCAGGAUUUCCCUAGUAACGGCGAGCGAACCGGAAAGAGCCCAGCUUGAAAAUCGUGGUGCCUCGCACCUCGAGUUGUAGUCUGGAGAAGGUCCCUMUGCGGCGCGCCGGACCCAAGUUCCCUGGAAAGGRACGUCAUCGAGGGUGACAACCCCGUCCGUGCCCGGAACGCGUCGCUCCACGAGGAUCUGUCUGCGAGUCGGGCUGUUUGGGAAUGCAGCCCUAAUCGGGAGGUAAAUUCCUUCUAAGGCUAAAUAUGGGCAAGAGACCGAUAGCGAACAAGUACCGCGAGGGAAAGAUGAAAAGGACUUUGAAAAGAGAGUUAAAAAGUGCUUGAAAUUGCUGGGAGGGAAGCGAAUGGAAGCUGCGGGUGCCGCCCCGGUUGGAUGCGGAACGGCUUCGGCUGGUCCGCCGCUCAACGCGGGGCGCUGGUCAGCGUGGGCCACGGCGCCGGGACAAGAGCGGGGAUUCGCUUCCCGCCUAUGCCGGUGCGGUGGCCGAGGAACGAAGCGCGCGCCUCUUGGCGUGGGUUCGCCCAACUGCGCGCUCGGGACGCUGGCGUAUUGAGCUCUUCAUCCGACCCGUCUUGAAACACGGACCAAGGAGUCUAACAUGUAUGCGAGCCGGUGGGCGGCAAACCCAUUGAGGCGCAAGUAAACUGACAGGUGGGACCCCGNCCGCAAGGGAGGGAGCACCAUCGRCCGACCGUGAUCUUCUGUGAAAGGUUUGAGUGUGAGCAUACCUGUUGGGACCCGAAAGAUGGUGAACUAUGCCUGAGCAGGGCGAAGCCAGAGGAAACYYUGGUGGAGGCUSGUAGCGAUACUGACGUGCAAAUCGUUCGUCAGACUUGGGUAUAGGGGCGAAAGACUAAUCGAMCCAUCUAGUAGCUGGUUCCCUCCGAAGUUUCCCUCAGGAUAGCUGGAGMUCGUGUACAAGUUUUAUCAGGUAAAGCGAAUGAUUAGAGGCAUCGGGGGUGUAACACCCUCGACCUAUUCUCAAACUUUAAAUAGGUAAGCCGCCGGGGUUGCUUGGUUGAACCCCGGCNCAGA
rnacentral:rRNA from 1 species